rnacentral:rRNA from 1 species
AGAAUCAACGCUGGCGGCGUGCCUAACACAUGCAAGUCGAACGAGAAAGUGGAGCAAUCCAUGAGUAAAGUGGCGCACGGGUGAGUAACACGUGAAUCAUCUACCUUCGAGUGGGGAAUAACUGAGAGAAAUCUUAGCUAAUACCGCAUAAUACCUACGGGUCAAAGCAGUAAUGCGCUUGAAGAGGAGUUCGCGGCAGAUUAGCUAGUUGGUGGGGUAAUGGCCUACCAAGGCGAUGAUCUGUA